rnacentral:rRNA from 1 species
AUUGAACGCUGGCGGCAGGCCUAACACAUGCAAGUCGAACGAGAGGCGGACGGGUGAGCAAUGUCUGGGAAACUGCCUGAUGGAGGGGGAUAACUACUGGACACGGUAGCCAAUACCGCAUACCAUCAGAUGUGCCCAGGUGGGAUUAGCUUGUGGGUGGGGUAACGGCUUACCAAGGCGACGAUCCCUAGCUGGUCUGAGAGGAUGACCAGCCACACGGGAACUGAGACACGGUCCAGACUCCUACGGGAGGCAGCAGUGGGGAAUAUUGCACAAUGGGCGCAAGCCUGAUGCAGCCAUGCCGCGUGUGUGAAGAAGGCCUUCGGGUUGUAAAGUACUUUCAGCGGGGAGGCGUUACCCACAGAAGAAGCACCGGCUAACUCCGUGCCAGCAGCCGCGGUAAUAC